rnacentral:lncRNA from 1 species
GUUCCCUGCUGACAAGUGCAAAACAAAGCACGACCGUGAAAAGUGGAUUGGAGGUGAAAAUACUUGAUGGAAGCCCACACUAGUGAGAAAACUCAGGAAGCGGCUCCUGCGGAAAGAUUAAACCUAGUCUUACUUCUCCGUGCUCCAGAGUUGAGGUGGAGAGCAGAAUUGAGACAGAUUAUGAAUGUAAGCCUAACCCCACCCAAAUCAAGAAGUAGCACGUUAUCUGUGUCCCAGAAGUCUGCCUUGUGGCCCCUCCCUAGCGGUCAUCCCUGUCCUGAUUUCUACCAUCACAGAACCAGCAAACAUUCCAGUAUGUUCUCUGCCAAAGGGGAGGGACUCUGCAAUUUUGUCAAGAUGAUGCUACGACAAUAAGAUGGAACAUUCCACCUCCAGUUAUUAAUUACCUGGCAUAUUUCACAAAACUGAUCAACUUUGCCUGGCAAGGUAAGGUAAUGAAAUUUUGCUUUUUUUUGUCUUUACGAAGCCAGAAACAGUAAUUGCAUAGAAGAAA